rnacentral:rRNA from 1 species
UAGGGAAUCUUCGGCAAUGGACGAAAGUCUGACCGAGCAACGCCGCGUGAGUGAAGAAGGUUUUCGGAUCGUAAAACUCUGUUGUUAGAGAAGAACAAGGACGUUAGUAACUGAACGUCCCCUGACGGUAUCUAACCAGAAAGCUACGGCUAACUACGUGCCAGCAGCCGCGGUAAUACGUAGGUGGCAAGCGUUGUCCGGAUUUAUUGGGCGUAAAGCGAGCGCAGGCGGUUUCUUAAGUCUGAUGUGAAAGCCCCCGGCUCAACCGGGGAGGGUCAUUGGAAACUGGGAGACUUGAGUGCAGAAGAGGAGAGUGGAAUUCCAUGUGUAGCGGUGAAAUGCGUAGAUAUAUGGAGGAACACCAGUGGCGAAGGCGGCUCUCUGGUCUGUAACUGACGCUGAGGCGCGAAAGCGUGGGGAGCAAACAGG